AGAGUUUGAUCAUGGCUCAGGAUGAAUGCUGGCGGCGUGCCUAACACAUGCAAGUCGAGCGGCAGCGCAAAGUAGUUUACUACUUGGCGGCGAGCGGCGAACGGCUGAGUAACGCGUGGGAACGUACCCCAAAGUGAGGAAUAACCGCUCGAAAGGGUGGCUAAUGCCGCAUAUGGUCUUCGGAUUAAAGGAUUUAUCUGCUUUGGGAACGGCCUGCGUACGAUUAGAUAGUUGGUGAGGUAAAGGCUUACCAAGUCUACGAUCGUUAACUGGUCUGAGAGGAUGAUCAGUCAGACUGGAACUGAGACACGGUCCAGACUCCUACGGGAGGCAGCAGUGAGGAAUCUUCCACAAUGGGCGAAAGCCUGAUGGAGCAACGCCGCGUGCAGGAUGAAGGCCUUCGGGUCGUAAACUGCUUUUAUAAGUGAAGAAUAUGACGGUAACUUAUGAAUAAGCACCGGCUAACUACGUGCCAGCAGCCGCGGUCAUACGUAGGGUGCAAGCAUUAUCCGGAGUGACUGGGCGUAAAGAGUUGCGUAGGUGGUUUGUUAAGUGAAUAGUGAAAUCUGGUGGCUUAACCACACAGACUAUUAUUCAAACUGGCAAACUCGAGAAUAGCAGAGGUAACUGGAAUUUCUAGUGUAGGAGUGAAAUCCGUAGAUAUUAGAAGGAACACCAAUGGCGUACGCAGGUUACUGGGCUAUUUCUGACACUGAGGCACGAAAGCGUGGGGAGCGAACCGGAUUAGAUACCCGGGUAGUCCACGCCGUAAACGAUGGAUACUAGCUGUUGGAGGUAUCGACCCCUUUCAGUAGCGAAGCUAACGCG
rnacentral:rRNA from 1 species